GACGAACGCUGGCGGCGUGCCUAAUACAUGCAAGUUGAACGCUUGAUUUUCACCGAAGCUUGCUUCACCGAAAAUCAAGAGUAGCGAACGGGUGAGUAACGCGUGGGUAACCUACCUUUCAGCGGGGGAUAACUAUUGGAAACGAUAGCUAAUACCGCAUAAUAAUGUUGGAUGCAUAUUCGACAUUUGAAAGUACCAACUGGUACACUGAGAGAUGGACCCGCGUUGUAUUAGCUAGUUGGUAGUGUAAUGGACUACCAAGGCGAUGAUACAUAGCCGACCUGAGAGGGUGAUCGGCCACAUUGGGACUGAGACACGGCCCAAACUCCUACGGGAGGCAGCAGUAGGGAAUCUUCGGCAAUGGACGAAAGUCUGACCGAGCAACGCCGCGUGAGUGAAGAAGGUUUUCGGAUCGUAAAACUCUGUUGUUAGAGAAGAACGUUGCAUAGAGUGGAAAAUUAUGCAAGUGACGGUAUCUAACCAGAAAGGGACGGCUAACUACGUGCCAGCAGCCGCGGUAAUACGUAGGUCCCGAGCGUUGUCCGGAUUUAUUGGGCGUAAAGCGAGCGCAGGUGGUUUAAUAAGUCUGAUGUAAAAGGCAGUGGCUCAACCAUUGUGU
rnacentral:rRNA from 1 species